ACAGCCAGCUCUGUAGACCAGGC
rnacentral:piRNA from 1 species